GACGAACGCUGGCGGCGUGCUUAACACAUGCAAGUCGAACGGAAAGGCCCCUUCGGGGGUACUCGAGUGGCGCACGGGUGAGUAACACGUGAGUAACCUGCCCUUGACUUCGGGAUAACUUCAGGAAACUGGGGCUAAUACCGGCUAGGAAUCCUUGCUGCAUGGUGGGGGUUGGAAAGCUUCGGCGGUUUUGGAUGGACUCGCGGCUUAUCAGCUUGUUGGUGGGGUAGUGGCUUACCAAGGCUUUGACGGGUAGCCGGCCUGAGAGGGCGACCGGCCACAUUGGGACUGAGAUACGGCACAGACGCCUACGGGAGGCAGCAGUGGGGAAUAUUGAACAAUGGGCGGAAGCCUGAUGCAGCAACGCCGCGUGCGGGAUGACGGCCUUCGGUUUGUAAAACGCUUUCAGCAGGGGCGAAGCUUGUGGUGACGGUACCUGCAGAAGAAGCACCGGCUAACUACGUG
rnacentral:rRNA from 1 species